rnacentral:rRNA from 1 species
ACAGCAGUCGCCGCGGGAAUACAGAGGAUGCAAGCGUUAUCUGGAAUGAUUGGGCGUAAAGCGUCUGUAGGUGGCUUUUCAAGUCCGCCGUCAAAUCUCAGGGCUCAACCCUGGACAGGCGGUGGAAACCACCAAGCUGGAGUACGGUAGGGGCAGAGGGAAUUUCCGGUGGAGCGGUGAAAUGCGUUGAGAUCGAAAGGAACACCAACGGCGAAAGCACUCUGCUGGGCCGACACUGACACUGAGAGACGAAAGCUAGGGGAGCAAAUGGGAUUAGAUACCCGCGUAGUCCCUGUCUCUUAUAA